UAAAUGGAUUUUAAAUUUUAUUUUGGAUUGUUAAAUCUUUAUUUCUGACUACUAUUGUUUUAUGUCGGUUCUGAUUACAAUGUGCAUGUACUCCAUAUAUUACCCCAUAUAUUAUUUAAUUAUCACUUUAUCAGAUAUAGUUCAUUUGGUUAAUUUAAUGCUACCUCGUUGUAGUUGCAAGUCUGGAACGACCGACUACCAUUCACUGUUGCAAGUGAUUUCUAUUGUUAAGAAGCUAUGAGCGAAAAUUUUGUGUCGCAAGCAAUACUUGGUACUCGAGCAUCAGAGAUCAUAAAGCUUGCUCCUUUUUGUCUCCAUUUAUCAGUCGAGGGGGAGUCACCGACGAACGACCCACAAUUGAUGAUGGAAUCCUCAUUCACCGCUGCUAAGGAGUUUGAGCAGGACCAGAGAGGAGAUGCAUUGAUGGUUGUCUUGAAGAAGAUGAUGGUGGGCUCUUCCCACCACUAGCAGCUACAGAGGAAGGGGAAGUCUGUGGCUGACAAGGCCCACCGCCGCUACUGUGGUGGCAGAGAAGGUGGUGGUCGCGGUUAGGGCAGCCACAAGACACCCAUCAUCUGGGUGAGGCGAUAGCAUCAUACUUCUCAUCAUCCUAUCACAUAGCUUUGGUGUUGAGUGCAAGACAUCACAUGCAAGCUGGAUUGUGUUAGACAAGAUUUGAAGCAUGAGAAGCGUUGUGGGGGAGAAGCUUCAGUGCAAAAUUGUUGUUCUAUAGGGAUCAACAUCCUCAAGAUCACUUGGAAAACUUUCACGAAAAACUCGUAAUGCAAGCAUAUGUUUUAUUGGAAAAGUUUUCCAAGCUGAAUUUCUGAAAGCCUCCUCACUGUUUUAGUUAUGCUGAAUUGGAAUUUGCAACUAGGGGUUUCUCACGAGUAAAUUUCUUAGCUAAAGGUGGAUUUUGGUCUGUUCAUCGACAUGUCCUUUGUAAUGAUGGUGGUGUUUGUUAGCUACAAAAUCAUCAAUCAAAGAUUGUAAUUAUAUUA